GCAACUGGAGUUAAUGUGAGACCACUUAUACUGAGAUGUUAGUCCCUUCCAAUUAGCAUCAACUCUACAAGGAUGGGGAUUUAAAGGAGUGUUAGGUGUUCUACAAUAAACGGGACUAACUGACAGAAGAACCUAAGGCAUCGUGAUUUUAUUUUGGUGACCACGAUUCAGAAUCAGGACAAGAAACCUGUUCCUGGUUCAUGUCAUCUUAGCAACUUUGCUAUUAAAAAGCACCAAUAGCUCCAAGGAGCUGAUUCAAAUUCAGACUUCAGCAUCAGCUAGUGACAGCAUCAUCUUAUAUGUCCACUCUUUAUGCUGAAUACACUUAUUUGUUUUAAUACUGGAGUAAAUUUGCAAUAACUCCAGUUGAUAAAGUACAGAGGCUAAACUACCAUAUGAU